GACGAACGCUGGCGGCGUGCCUAAUACAUGCAAGUCGAACGCACAGUUUAUACCGUUGCUUGCUACACCAUAGACUGUGAGUUGCGAACGGGUGAGUAACGCGUAGGUAACCUGCCUGGUAGCGGGGGAUAACUAUUGGAAACGAUAGCUAAUACCGCAUAAUAUUAAUUAUUGCAUGAUAAUUAAUUGAAAGGUGCAAUUGCACCACUACCAGAUGGACCUGCGUUGUAUUAGCUAGUAGGUGAGGUAACGGCGCACCUAGGCGAGGAUACAUAGCCGAACGGAGAGGGUGGUUGGCCAGACUGGGAGGGGGACACGGCCCAGAGGCCUACGGGAGGGAGCAGUAGGGAAUCUUCGGGCAUGGGCGGAAGUCUGACCGAGCAACGCCGCGUGAGGGUAGAAGGUUGUCGGGUCGGAAAGCUCGGUUGUAGGGGAAGAACGGGUGUGAGAGUGGAAAGUUCACACUGUGACGGUAUCUGACCAGAAAGGAACGGCUAACUACGUG
rnacentral:rRNA from 1 species